rnacentral:rRNA from 1 species
AAAUUGAAGAGUUUGAUCAUGGCUCAGAUUGAACGCUGGCGGCAGGCCUAACACAUGCAAGUCGAACGGUAACAGGAAGCAGCUUGCUGCUUCGCUGACGAGUGGCGGACGGGUGAGUAAUGUCUGGGAAACUGCCUGAUGGAGGGGGAUAACUACUGGAAACGGUGGCUAAUACCGCAUAACGUCGCAAGACCAAAGAGGGGGACCUUCGGGCCUCUUGCCAUCAGAUGUGCCCAGAUGGGAUUAGCUUGUUGGUGAGGUAACGGCUCACCAAGGCGACGAUCCCUAGCUGGUCUGAGAGGAUGACCAGCCACACUGGAACUGAGACACGGUCCAGACUCCUACGGGAGGCAGCAGUGGGGAAUAUUGCACAAUGGGCGCAAGCCUGAUGCAGCCAUGCCGCGUGUAUGAAGAAGGCCUUCGGGUUGUAAAGUACUUUCAGCGGGGAGGAAGGUGUUGCGGUUAAUAACCGCAGCAAUUGACGUUACCCGCAGAAGAAGCACCGGCUAACUCCGUGCCAGCAGCCGCGGUAAUACGGAGGGUGCAAGCGUUAAUCGGAAUUACUGGGCGUAAAGCGCACGCAGGCGGUCUGUCAAGUCGGAUGUGAAAUCCC